UUAACAAAAACAUGUCCUUUUGAUUAUAAUUUAAGGUCUAAUCUGCUCAAUGAUAAUUUAAAUAGCCGCAGUAUUUUAACUGUGCAAAGGUAGCAUAAUAAUUAGCUUCUUAAUUAGGGGCUUGUAUGAAUGAUUGGACGAAAAAAUUUCUGUCUCCUUUUAAUUUGUUUUUGAACUUUAUCUUUAAGUUAAAAAGCUUAAAUUUUUAUAAAAGACGAGAAGACCCUAUAGAGUUUUAUACUUUUAAUUUAUUGAUGUUUAGAAAUUUCUUUAUUUUUUAAGUAUUUAGUUGGGGUGACUUGAAGAUAAAGUAAAUUCUUUAAAAAUUUAAUUGAUGAUUUUUAAAUUAAAAAUCUAGUUUUCUAAAUUUAAAAUUAAUUACCUUAGGGAUAACAGCGUAAUUUUUCUUUAAAGCUCUUAUUGAAAGGAAAUUUUGCGACCUCGAUGUUGGAUUAAAAUUAAUUUUUGGUGCAGUAACUUAAAAAUUAGGUCUGUUCGACCUUUGAAAUUUUACAUGAUCUGAGUUUAAACCGGCGUAAGCCAGGUUGGAUUCUAUCUUUAGAACUUAUUUUAUAUUUUAGUACGAAAGGACCAAAUAUGGAUCAUAUAUUGAUUG
rnacentral:rRNA from 1 species